rnacentral:rRNA from 1 species
AUUGAACGCUGGCGGCAUGCUUUACACAUGCAAGUCGAACGGCAGCACGGAGAGCUUGCUCUCUGGUGGCGAGUGGCGAACGGGUGAGUAAUACAUCGGAACGUACCCAGUAGUGGGGGACAACCAGCCGAAAGGUUGGCUAAUACCGCAUAAUACCUACGGGGGAAAGCAGGGGACCUUAGGGCCUUGUGCUACUGGAGCGGCCGAUGACAGAUUAGCUAGUUGGUGAGAUAACAGCUCACCAAGGCGACGAUGGGUAGCCGGCCUGAGAGGGUGAACGGCCACACUGGAACUGAGACACGGUCCAGACUCCUACGGGAGGCAGCAGUGGGGAAUCUUGCACAAUGGAGGGAACUCUGAUGCAGCGACGCCGCGUGAAUGAUGAAGGUUUUCGGAUCGUAAAGUUCUGUUCUAAGGGAGAUAAUGACGGUACCUUAGAAGAAAGCCCGGCUAACUACGUGCCAGCAGCCGCCGUAAC